GGCUGUUCAGAGGCACCAAGAUGGCGGCCCGGCAGAGACAGUCAGAGCAGACACUCAGUUCUCAACAGCUGGGGAUGUCCGUGAGGCCCGGAGCUGCCGUUCCCCCCGAAUGCUGGUCCAGCUGUCCCCGAGGCCUGGUGGGGCAGCGCUGAACUUCUCUCAUCCUCCCUCAGCCGCCCGGCUCUUCAGGGGGUCGGCUGGGGCUGCGAUGCCUGCAAAGCGCCGAACAGCCGCAGCGUGUCCGCAGGAAUUCCCGCGCUCCUCCCGGGCAGGCAAAAUGUUCUCAGCUACGUGAGCCUAUGGGAUCAUGGGCGCCCCUAGCCUGCCCAGGCUUCCAGAACGGGCAGCAAGGCCACCACCUCCUGGAUGACUUCUCCAGUUUCAAGGCUGAACAGUGCUUUGCCCUGCACAUUUCUUCCUUUUAGCACAGCCAGAUGUCCUCAUGUCUCGUACCUCCUAUUGGACUUGACUUCAAGCCCUCUGAGGUCAAGACCUUGGGUAAAUCACCUUCAUAUUUCCCUAGGGUGCCCAGCUCAGAGCCAGUAUGUGUUUAUUGGAUGAAUGAGUGAAUAAAUUGACUGAAAGAA